rnacentral:rRNA from 1 species
CGUUCUGUAAGCCUGUGAAGGUGUGCUGUGAGGCAUGCUGGAGGUAUCAGAAGUGCGAAUGCUGACAUAAGUAACGAUAAAGCGGGUGAAAAGCCCGCUCGCCGGAAGACCAAGGGUUCCUGUCCAACGUUAAUCGGGGCAGGGUGAGUCGACCCCUAAGGCGAGGCCGAAAGGCGUAGUCGAUGGGAAACGGGUUAAUAUUCCCGUACUUGGUGUUACUGCGAAGGGGGGACGGAGAAGGCUAUGUUGGCCGGGCGACGGUUGUCCCGGUUUAAGCGUGUAGGUAUGUGUUCCAGGUAAAUCCGGUUCACUUUAACACUGAGGCGUGACGACGAGGCACUACGGUGCUGAAGCAACAAAUGCCCUGCUUCCAGGAAAAGCCUCUAAGCAUCAGGUAACAUCAAAUCGUACCCCAAACCGACACAGGUGGUCAGGUAGAGAAUACCAAGGCGCUUGAGAGAACUCGGGUGAAGGAACUAGGCAAAAUGGUGCCGUAACUUCGGGAGAAGGCACGCUGACACGUAGGUGAAGUGAUUUACUCACGGAGCUGAAGUCAGCCGAAGAUACCAGCUGGCUGCAACUGUUUAUUAAAAACACAGCACUGUGCAAACACGAAAGUGGACGUAUACGGUGUGACGCCUGCCCGGUGCCGGAAGGUUAAUUGAUGGGGUCAGCGCAAGCGAAGCUCCUGAUCGAAGCCCCGGUAAACGGCGGCCGUAACUAUAACGGUCCUAAGGUAGCGAAAUUCCUUGUCGGGUAAGUUCCGACCUGCACGAAUGGCGUAAUGAUGGCCAGGCUGUCUCCACCCGAGACUCAGUGAAAUUGAACUCGCUGUGAAGAUGCAGUGUACCCGCGGCAAGACGGAAAGACCCCGUGAACCUUUACUAUAGCUUGACACUGAACAUUGAGCCUUGAUGUGUAGGAUAGGUGGGAGGCUUUGAAGUGUGGACGCCAGUCUGUAUGGAGCCGACCUUGAAAUACCACCCUUUAAUGUUUGAUGUUCUAACGUGGACCCGUGAUCCGGGUUGCGGACAGUGUCUGGUGGGUAGUUUGACUGGGGCGGUCUCCUCCUAAAGAGUAACGGAGGAGCACGAAGGUUGGCUAAUCCUGGUCGGACAUCAGGAGGUUAGUGCAAUGGCAUAAGCCAGCUUGACUGCGAGCGUGACGGCGCGAGCAGGUGCGAAAGCAGGUCAUAGUGAUCCGGUGGUUCUGAAUGGAAGGGCCAUCGCUCAACGGAUAAAAGGUACUCCGGGGAUAACAGGCUGAUACCGCCCAAGAGUUCAUAUCGACGGCGGUGUUUGGCACCUCGAUGUCGGCUCAUCACAUCCUGGGGCUGAAGUAGGUCCCAAGGGUAUGGCUGUUCGCCAUUUAAAGUGGUACGCGAGCUGGGUUUAGAACGUCGUGAGACAGUUCGGUCCCUAUCUGCCGUGGGCGCUGGAGAACUGAGGGGGGCUGCUCCUAGUACGAGAGGACCGGAGUGGACGCAUCACUGGUGUUCGGGUUGUCAUGCCAAUGGCACUGCCCGGUAGCUAAAUGCGGAAGAGAUAAGUGCUGAAAGCAUCUAAGCACGAAACUUGCCCCGAGAUGAGUUCUCCCUGAGACUUUAGGUCUCCUGAAGGAACGUUGAAGACGACGACGUUGAUAGGCCGGGUGUGUAAGCGCAGCGAUGCGUUGAGCUAACCGGUACUAAUGAACCGUGAGGCUUAACCUUACAACGCCGAAG